rnacentral:misc_RNA from 1 species
AAGGCUCCCUCCUCCUCUCCUGAACGACGGGUGGGGUGGGGGAUGCGCACACCUCAGCGCGUGGUGCCUCAGCGGCCAGUGCACGCCCACUCUCCGGCUGGAAGCCGAGCAGAGCUCCCCUCCACCCCCUCCUAUCCCCUCGCCGGCGCCGGGCCACUUCGCGUGGUGGCAGGGCCAGGGUGCCUAGGGCGUGAGAGGGGGAGGUCAGAGCGACCGGCGGCCGUGCACACGCUUGUACGAUCCAUAUGGGCGGGCGACGUGCCAGCGUGGCUGGAGCGUGUCUCCCCGACCUGGGCCCCCCUCACACCGCCUACGGCUGCUUGGCACCACGCGGAGAGGGGGGAGCGGGAGGGGGCCAGUGGCAGGGCCGUGGGAAGGCGUUUGAGGGGGGAGAGUGACGUGGAGCCCCGCUCAUUGCACGAAAGCAGACCGAGCGCGUGGAGUCUUUAUAGCGGCCCUCCUCCUCUUGUCGCCGCUCGGCUCUGUCUGUCUCCCCGCUCCGUCGGUACGCCUCCUUCGCACCUCUCUGUCGGUGUGUCGGACUAUGUGCCCUCCCACUUCUCGUCUCCAACUCUUUAUCUUGCGUUCCUUGCUGCUGCCCUUCUCGCGUACGUACAUAG